ACGACAUCGGAAUGCCAGAGGAAAUGCAAGGGACUUCCUCUAAGAGGAAUCCUCUUGUCCCAUAAACGAUAACGAAAGGAAGAGGAGGAGACGGACAGAAAGAGAGGGGGAGGAGGUGUGUAUGAAGGCAGAGAAGAGGAGCGAUGAAGCGGAAGCUCCUCAGAGAAGAGGAGCUUGAAGUCUGGAAAAGCCGAGUGGGAGGCAAAGGGGAAAUAAUAGGAGGUGUUGGGCUUUUGUACUUUCUGCAUCAAGGUCCGCUCUGGGUGAAAUGGAAGCGAUAUAGCGGAAAGGCUACGGACUCUGACGCAGGUGGUGCGGCUGGACGCAGUGUCGGUGCAGAGGAAACCCGUGGCCACUGAAUGAAACAACUGACAUUUUAGGCUGUCACUGGAAAGCAGCAUGCCCGCGAUCUGUCACACCGACCACAGAGUGUGAAGAGGGAGAAAGCGGCCAUGGACAUGCCCGAGGAUGAGUCGCUGUUGAAAAACCAGACGGAACAUGGGCCGGAGCCAAGCCAGGGGGCAGCCCGUCCUGCCUGGGCAAUUACGACGCUGGCCAGCGUGCUGAUCUUCACCACCGUUGUCGAUGUCCUGGGAAACCUGCUGGUCAUCGUGUCCGUGCUUCGAAACCGUAAACUACGAAAUGCGGGUACUGUGAAAUCACAAUAAGUGAGUUUGAGGCUGAUCCGAAUGCCUGUGGUCCUCCAUGCACCCCAGAGACAUAUGAUGCGGCAGAUGUCGAUCCCCAGGCUGAAAACAUCCAAGACGUCAGAGGAAUAAAGUGAAAAUAUGAGCGUCUCGGAACAAACUUUCCUAAAUGUCACCAUCGUGGAAGUCCUACCAGAACUUCAAGCAGUAAACAAAAGCAUCCUGGUAGAGCACUUGCAGUCCAUCGGAGUGGAGACAUAUGAUGAUCUAUGCUUCGUAACGGAGGCUAAUUGGAUGACAGCAUUAAGACCUGUACAAGCCAGAAAGCUUCUGUUUGGAAACAGAAAUACCAAACUCCCGAAAACAGCUCACCAUCAUCUGUGGCCUCACCUACCCAGUGGUUGUCAUUGCACUCUGUUUCACCCAAACAGUCAACUGACAUUGCAAAAAAAAAAAAAAAAAAAAAAAAAAAAGUGGCAAAAUAUCCCAAUUCUCUGCAAGAUGUAAUAGAGGGUGAUGUUGUUGGAACAGGUUACCAUUCCCCUCUCAAACAGUUGCAAUACCGAAUUGAAAAUGUGAGGCGCACUUCAACACCCAAAAUAAGAAAAGGAAAACAUCAGGCUGAUGACUCAGACACAGAUGAGAUCCCAUUAGAAGAGAGAGCGGCAAUGCAGGACACUUACAGGUACAUAAAAUGGAAUGCAAAAUUUUUGCCCUGUGAAGAAGCUCAAGAGAGCCAGCAGCAAAAGACGGAAAAACUGAAGGUGAUGUUCCAACACACUGAUGCCAAUCAAGAGGAGGUAAAAUGUCUAAUGAAGUCCACUUUUUACACACAGUGUCAACAUGUCAACCAGGGAAAAGUAUCAAAUGCCAUAGAGGAGUGGCCAUUUUUGUUUGAACUUGGCAUGUCAGUCUACUUCAAGGAACACACUGGGAUUGACCUCAAAGAGACAUUCACUUGAAAUUUGGAUUUGAAGAGGAAAAGGCUUCUCGACUACAUAACCACAGUUUGUGUCAGCAAGAGCAAGAAGUUACUUCAGACUUACACAAGGCUUCAGAGGAUGUGGGGACAGCAGAGUGGCUGCUCAGAUGAUAUGAAAGAGAUGCUCCUGCUUCUGCUCAGCUACUUUGAUGAGAAGGAGUCCAUGUUCUUCCAUGUCUGGCAGAAGAGGUUCAACUGGAGCAAGUGCCUCUGACACCCGCUGUUAUUGUCUGUGGAUGUUCCAUGAUGCAUGGGCACAUGCGUGGUGACCAAGCUCCCCGGAAAUUGGCGUCACCAUUCUUCAAAUGCUAUUUUUCCAAAAUGUUAAUCUGUUCCAUGGAUCUUCCACAGGACUCAAAUAAAUUAGUUCUAUUUCUGCGUCAGGCCUUCCUUUCUGCCUGCUCGCGAGACACUGGGAAGCGACAAUCAACUCUGAUUUGCCUGAUAACAAAUAAGCACAUGCACACUUCCAGUGCACUGAUUAGGCUGUGUAUUAUGGGGGGUAGAAAGGGGUUUAAGCCUAAAUAUGGACUCUUUCUGUGGACUGAAUAUUUGUUUGAGAAGAGGUACUGUUAGUUUGCACUUUGUUAAACCCACAAUAUGUAUUAUGAUAAUUAAGGCACAAUAUGUACUUUUUGUUUUAAUGUCUUAAAGGUGUACAUGUAAUGUUUUUGUGGUCUGCCACCUGCUGUUUCAUGAAGAUGUUCUUGCUUUGUAGGAAUAUACUACAAUAUGGUAUAAAACUUAUAUCUGUCUUGCAGUUAUUCAAUUAGAACAAUUUUCAUUGCAAAAAACUAUCUUAACAAACGUGCAUUCUUACUCUGAUGGGGCUUGCCUCUCUACAGAUCUGGGGCCUCAUUUAUAAAACAUUGCAUAGGAUCCAUACUAAAAAUUUGCGUACACCGAAAAUCUGAAAUGGGCGUACGCCGUUCGACCCUGAUUUAUAAAACUGUGCAUAAGCACAGCUGCACGCACUUCUUUAUAAAUCACACACCAGCUGGAAGAUUGCACAGGUGGAUCCACCUCACAUUCCGCCCACAACACAUCCACAUUUUACCAUGAAUGGUCAAUGCAAAGUAACUCAAGAAUGUAUCUGCGUAUAAAUAAGCUGCUGAUCCAUGGCAUUUUACGCAGCGCCGGUCUGCAGUCUUUUCCCUACACUGAGCGUGGUUGUGGUGUGACGCAUGUGGGCCUGCAUGCCUGUACAGGGCUGAUUAAUGGUUGGACGCUCAUCCCAUUCGGCCGCAUAUGGAUAAAUAAACAAAUAAUUUACUUUUUUUGCCUUUUUACUGUGAUAGUUGCAGUGAAGAGUGACAGAAAAUGGGGAGAAGAGUAGGGGGAAGACAUGCAUAAAAAGGCCGCAGGCAAGAAUCAAUUUGCAAAUGAGUCUUUUCACUGCUGUGCAUCAGGAUGAAUCAAUCAUGUGUUGACCCAGGCCACCCUGCCACUAAAUUUGUUAUGAUCAUGUCCGAUGUACAAAUAAUUUGUAAACUGAUUGAAUGUACAUUUUUUCAGUUCACAUAGACAAAUUCAUUUUCACUUGGAGCCCUUACAGCAACAUGAGUGCAGUCAGUUACGCCGAUUACAUUUGGGAAACCGGACAUCGCUGCAAAUUGCCGUUUAAUGUUGGCCUGUUCACCCACAGUGUAAGGAAACCUGAUGUAUUGACUGGUCAUGUUUAUAAUGUCAUCCAAAACAGCUGGCAUUAUUGCGCUGAGGGAUGGUUGUGAUAUCCCAGACCUAAAGGACAUCAUUUAACUGUAUAUCAGACCCAGAUAGGAUUUAGACAACAAAUUUAACCUCAUAUAUUCUUCAUAUAAAACACAUACCUGUCGGCCACUUCCCGCUGGAAGGAGCCGGUGUCGCCAGAAACCCCCGAGUCGUCAGCUCCUGUGUCUGUACCGGGAUGGCGUGGUUUCGACGGGUGGGUCUGUCUAAGCACAUAGAUCCAAGAGUACUGCUCUAGGGAAUUUGAAUCGGCUUAUUAGCCAGUCAUCGUCAUGGGCCAGGAAAUCCCCGUGAUCCCUAAAAUCUCUCUCCAUUCUUAACGUGAUCUUCCAGCAAUGCCAGCGCAUUCAUUGUGCCACAUUACACACGGCUGUCACCCGCUAUUUAUCCGCUUGAUCAGCGAUUGGACUGAUUGUCACACGCCUUUUCCAAAUUAGCAAUCAAUCAGUGCCACUCACCGCUCUAUAUCAUUUGAAGAUGGAAGUUUGAUAUAUGAACAUAGUUCUGCAAAUACAGUCGUAGGCCGAAUGGCGCACUAUAGGAACAUCUACAACAAUGAGGGUUUAUGAUUAUCCGGCUCUACAAGUCUAGUAUGUGAAAACAAUAAAGGUUUGAGAUCAAUCUGGUUUCAAUUCACCACUUCACCCUCCGGCACUGCCGUUCCCUCUGUCUCCAAAAUGUACGUAAACAAGCAUCAAAGUUGGCGCACCGGUGCGCACAUUCUCACACCAAGUUUGUUUUUAGAAAUCACAACGUACACAGUGUAUGCAACUUUCUACACAAAGGUUGUGAUUUACACCACUUUCUAGCCCUGUUUUGUCCGUACGCAAGCAUCAAGCAUCAAGGUUGGCGCACCGGUGCGCACAUUCACACGUUUGUUUUUAUAAAUCACAACCUUUGCGUAGAAAGUAGCCCUGUUUUGUGCAUACGCAAGCUUUAUAAAUGAGGCCCCUGACCUGUAACCUGGCCUUUUUGGCAUCACCUCAUUGUCUCCAUGAAGAUAGAUAAGUUUCAUGCUAUACUGUGUAACAUUGUUUAGUAUUUCAAGUUGGAUUCAGUCAUAGUUAAAAGAACCAUACAUGUAGCUUCUUUGCAUGCAGAAGAAAAAAUACAUAAAGUUAAAUAAAUAUCCCAAAAGUGA